AGAUGCCCUUAGACAACGCACGUAGAUAUAGCAGAAUAAUGGCCAUUAAGUAGAUGCUUGGCAGGCCAUCGCCUUCUGGGAUCCCAUCCUACACAUAUAUUUCCGACGAUUUAAUUAAUUAGUCACUAGAGCAUAGUAGUGUAAACUCAAGACAUCGCUGCACUUUGUAGUUUGUCUGCUCUCCUGCUACGGUGAUCUAUAUUGAGGGUUUCGCUUGACUGCAGCUCCCCUAGUGUGAAAUGAAGACAUUUUGUACCUUGUCUGCUAUCCUGCUACAUUCAUGUACGAUUUAAGUAAUUAGUCACCAUGUAGCAUGUAACUAAGGCACUAUAUAAUGUGCCAGGGAUUCCCCUUUUACCACUCACGAGAGCAUCGUAGAAUGAAAUGUUACUUCUGGGGUACUUUGAAGUUUGUCUGCUCCUCUGCUACGUUAAUAGGGACAGAGAUGCGAUUUAAAUAUACGGUCAUGAUGCAAGAUGUAACUAAUGCACCUCUAUUUUUUCAGGGCUUCCCUCUUACAACUCUCGAGACCAUCGUAGUGUUGAAAUGAAGACAUCGGGAGGUAACAACUUUGUAGCUUGUCUGUCCUCCUGCUACGUUGAUGUAUACAGAGGGUUUCGCUUCACUGCAACUCCCCUAGUGUGAAAUGAAGACAUUCUGUACCUUGUCUGCUAUCCUGCUACAUUCAUGUACUUAGAGGGAUCCCCCUUUUACCACUCACGAGAGCAUCGUAGGAUGAAAUGUUACUUCUGGGGUACUUUGAAGUUUGUCUGCUCCCCUGCUACGUUAAAAGGGACAGAGGGCUUCUCUCUUACAACUCUCGAGAGCAUCGUAGUGUUGAAAUGAAGACAUUGUGAGGUAUCAACUUUGUAGCUUGUCUGUCCUCCUGCUUUGUUGAUGUAUACAGAGAGGUAACCUAAUAGUGAUGAAAAUUGAUUAUCAUCAAAGGAUGGGAAUGAGACUGGCCACUAUGUUCACCACAAAAUACUAAAUGUAUUAAGAAGCCUGUUUAGCAGAUAAAUUUAACGAACAGUUGAAAGAUCGAAGCUUUCUCUGUCUCUUAUUACCAUAAGUCGCAGAUAUCGAGAUGUUGGUCCUGUGGGCGCAUGAACGAGUCAAUAGUAAAAGAACACAUACUUACCCAUCAAAAAGUAGAUACCUACCUGAUUGAGCUUGGGAAAUUUCUUAAUUCGGUUUUACUUUUUAGACGCGGUCUUCAGGCAGUACCUACCUCAUCGCCAGCAAUCCAAACGAUGGCACUAUUCCAAAACUGCAACGAAUUAGCACGGACCUUGGUCGCUUAUCAACCCUGUAGAGAUCGUCAGCAAAGCGCAACAUUCAUUCAGCAAAUAUGAGCACUAUUCACCACAUCAAAUCCGACGCUGACAUCAACGAGUGUUCCAGCCGUCAACGAAUAUAUAAUUGAUUAAUUUUCCAUCGGUGUGAAACCGGGAUGUUGGAAAUCUGGAAAAUACCAGUCACUUGGUGCGAAGCUACAGAUCAGUGGAACUAGGCCUAAACCCCUUUGAGGUCGCAUUCCGUCUAGAGGAAGGAUGCAACGAUGCCAUCUUAGGAAAUCGUCAAAGCGGUAUCGGGCGACCAAACAACUUACCAACACUCAACAGUUACCCUUUGGUUGGCAUUCGUUUCAAAUCCGCUACAUCCUUAAGUUUUCAUUGGUUUUUUUUGCUGGGGGGGGGGGGGUGGAGAGACUAUGUCGUGUGAUGAACUAGUGCGAGCUACCAGCAAAGUGCAGUUAGGGCAGUACAAUAUUAUUCUAGAGAUGAAC